ACCAGGAUGGCCGAGUGGUUAUGGCGUUGGACUUAAGAUCGAAUGUCCGCGUGGGUUCAAACCCCACUCCUGGUA